CUUAAAUUACUUUGUUUUGUCGCUAUUGCUCGCUUUUGAGAACAUUCUGGGCUAUUGCUUAGACAAAUAACUAUUUCAUGUCCUAGGGUAUGCUAAGGUGUAAUACAUUGGUCAGAGGAUCUUCUUGAGCUGACCUAUCCCUUGGCAUCUACAUUGACAUUUUUCAAAAUUUAUUGCAUCUCUUUAUAUUCCUAAAUGGAGUUGUGAGAUCAUAGUUGUACAUCCCUUUCUAAAUCUCACAGGAUUUCAUUUUCUUCACUUUUUGUUGCAGAUAGUGCCCUUUAGAUUACGGUUUAAGCGCAGAACUCAAAAUCUGGAAAUGGAUGCUGAUCCAAAUGAUUGUCAAACUGCUACAUCUGCUGGUUUUUUGGAUUCUCCAUCCACUGAUUUGAUCUGGUUUCAAUGUCGACACACAAUCAAGGGCCUGGCUUCCAGAAGGACGCCUGCUGAGGAGUGAUGAUGCUGACUGUUGGAAGUUUAACAUCUUGUAGAGUAAUCCUUUGAUUCUAUUCAAUGCACACUUUCAUUUCUGGUACUCUUUUUCUGAAAUUUGUAGUAGUUCUUAGCUACAAAUGCAUAAUGCGAAUAAGGAUUUUGGAUUUUAGCAAAAAUGCAAUCCCGAGUCAUUGGCGUAUUUUGAAUUCUUUCAGAUUGCAUGAGUUCAUUGCA